GGGGAUGAAAGGAGUUGAAAGGAGUCAAAAUGCGCUACCAUGCCAAGCAUGGCUUUGUCGGCAGGCAGAGGAUGAUCGGUUACCUCUAUAAAUAUUUCCGUUCAAUACUUAAAAGCAGAAAACAAACCUGCUUACGUUCCGUCCUACGCGUUAGCGUAACGUCGGGACCAUCUCUCUUUUGACGCUCGAUGGAAAGAUAGAGAUGUUAUUAUCGGGCUCGGCCCCGCAAAUCUUCGAUGCGGGGCGACAAAAAGAAGAAAAAAUUUUGCGCGUUUCGUCCGGUUUCCGGCGCAAUCUUAACAUAACCGGACUAAGCCUGUAGAGGAUAGCGUAUUUAAUUUCUUGACGCGGGUUCAAAUCCCGCCAUCUCCACAU
rnacentral:tmRNA from 1 species